AGAGUUUGAUCCUGGCUCAGAGCGAACGCUGGCGGCAGGCUUAACACAUGCAAGUCGAGCGGGCGUAGCAAUACGUCAGCGGCAGACGGGUGAGUAACGCGUGGGAACGUACCUUUUGGUUCGGAACAACACAGGGAAACUUGUGCUAAUACCGGAUAAGCCCUUACGGGGAAAGAUUUAUCGCCGAAAGAUCGGCCCGCGUCUGAUUAGCUAGUUGGUGAGGUAAUGACUCACCAAGGCGACGAUCAGUAGCUGGUCUGAGAGGAUGAUCAGCCACAUUGGCACUGAGACACGGGCCAGACUCCUACGGGAGGCAGCAGUGGGGAAUUUUGCGCAAUGGGCGAAAGCCUGACGCAGUAACGCCGCGUGGAGGAUGAAGGCCUUCGGGUUGUAAACUCCUGUCAGGGGGAACGACGGGGAAAGGGUGACAAAUCCUUUCCUCCAGACGGUACCUCCAAAGGAAGCCCCGGCUAAUUCCGUGCCAGCAGCGGCGGUAAUUC
rnacentral:rRNA from 1 species